CAGGCCUGCACUCUCAUGAUUUGGAGAUAGCCUCGUAGAAAUGACAACCACAAUGUUAAUACUAACAUAUGUAUUACAUGGUUUGUUUGUUCUUUCGCUUAAUAUUUUCAGAGCACCUACCUAUUAUAGGCACUGUCACUUCUCACAAAACUGGGACAACUAACUGUUUAUCCAACAUCUGCUGGCUAAAUAAAGACAUGAUCUUCACCUUUUGGGAUUGUUAAUUUAAAAUGGUUCCAUAAGAGCAAUGCAAAGACAGAGAUAUUUGGCAGCACUGCAGCUGGUGAUUUAUAUGGCUCUUCACAAGGUGUUAUUUUGGGGUAUCAAGGUAUGGAUGCUUAAAUCAGCUGCAGGAAGUAAGAAAGAAGAAAAAAGGAGUGAUAAAGAUAAAAAAAAAUCAACCUUGGUCCUUCCACCAAGACCCAUUAAUUUCCAUAUCAUCAUCUGCAUAAGAGGGAAGAUUCCUACAUGACCAGAUUAUAACGAAAGACAAAAUAUAUGCUGCAGUUGGGGUGGAGAAAUUGAAGGAGAGAAACACAGGUGAAUCUAGAAAUUUGAGAAAAUGUC
rnacentral:lncRNA from 10 species